GGCCUCCUUUGACUUACCACAGACAGUGCUUUCUUUCAGCGCUGACUGUAUAGAAAUGGGAGGUAAAGUACAAUUCCCUGUUACACCACAGCCGUGCUCCUUCUGUGGCUCAGGUUGUAUUGUUGACAGGGAGACACCU